CUCACGCAAGGCAUACACACUGUUUUAGCUGCGAUAGCUGCAGGACGACAAAAGUACAUCUACAUAUUAAAGGAAAGAAGCUGACAAGAAAACGGCAUGGGCAAUUUCGUCAUCUCCGGAGUGGAGGGGAGCCAGGAUCCUGCAGCAAUGAAGCUUGACAUUUUAACGCAAAGUUACAAUGAAGAUGCAGGUGAGUCGCUUGACCCGGCCAGCCUAAACAUGAGCUCUCCAUAUGCCUCCGCUGCUUUGGUUGUCCCCCCAUGUACCUCAAGUCAGGUAUGCCCAGUGGUGGAUGAGGACCCGCUCCCAAGCGAGCUGCAAGCACUGCACAGAGAAAAGAAUUUAACUUCAAAUUAAAGUACUGAUACUGCAACACAAAUAUUACA